CCCUUAGAUGUUCCGGGCCGCACGCGUGCUACACUGAGUGGAUCAGCGGGUCAGGCUGCGCGAAAGCGUUUCCUAAUCUUUAAAUCCGCUCGUGAUGGGGAUUGACGGUUGCAAUUUUCUGUCAUGAACGAGGAAUACCUUGUAAGCGCGGGUCAUCAUCCCGCGCUGAAUACGUCCCUGCCCUUUGUACACACCGCCCGUCGCUCCUACCGAUUGAGUGGUCCGGUGAGGCUUUGGGAUCUGAGCGGAAAGAGCGUUUCGCUGUUUCUGCUCGGAAAACUCAGUCGAACCUUAUCAUUUAGAGGAAGGAGAAGUCGUAACA
rnacentral:rRNA from 1 species